CGCCGCCCGCCUCGCCGCGACCACAAGAGCGCCGUGACGCCGGCAUUGUGACGAGCAGUGUGACGCCGGCAUUGUGACGAGCAGUGUGACGCCGGCAGUGUGACGAGAAGUGUGACGAGCAGUGUGACACCGGCAUUGUGACGAUUGUGACAAGUAGUGCGCCGAACUGUGUGACGCCGGCAGUGUGACGAACCGUGUGACGCCGGCAGUGUGACGAGCCGUGUGGCGCUACAAGAGCGGUCGCCGGUCGUCCGCGCUGCAAAGUGACAAAGUGACCACGAUGUGAGUUUGAUGAGUGAGUGGAACGCGAGCCUUAGGCUAGUGCAGUGUGCAUGCACUGCCUUGCAGUGUGAGUGUGAAGUGAGCAGUGCGAACGCAAUGGGCAGGCAUGGGCAGCCCGUCGACGCGCCGUCGUCGCCUUGGUCCAGGGCGUCGCGCUGAGUGGAGUCGCCGCCACUCCUCGGCCAGGCCGUGCAGGACGUGCUCCAGGACGCGAGAGGAGCCGCAGCUAGCCACAGCCGAGAUCGGCAUGACCGCCGUGGUCUCGGCCCUGCUCCGCGGCCACCCCUCCGGAGUCGCCGUGGAGUUGCACCCGCAAACAUGACCUGGCGGCCAUGGCGGGUCGAUCCGUCGAUUCCCACACCGCGUUGACUCCUGGAGCCCGGCCUCAACAUGCAUCACCAUCACCACCAGGCCGUCCACCGGCACCACGAGGUGCACAGCAACACCACCAUGACGGUCAUCAGCGCCUUCCACUACACGUCCACCAGCACGACCUCCUUCAACUCGUUCAACUCGGUGGGCGUGUUGCCGCCCCCGGCGCUGCCCUCCGCCGCCCCCAGGCUGCAGGCCGUGCU